ACGCCCUUCAUGAAGGUGGUCAUAAUUGCUCAUAGAUGGGAGUUUCCUCACAUUUGGGCCUUUGAUAUUCAACAAACAGAUCUGCUCAAGUGUUUGAAUAAGGACUAUGAUGAGCAGCCCCCCAUCUAUGAACAGUUCAUGAGCACCUACGGCGU
rnacentral:pre_miRNA from 1 species